AUGUGAAAGACCCGGGGCGUCAACCUCGGAAUUGCAUUUGUAAACUAGGCAAACUAGAGUACUGUAGAGGGGGGUAGGAAUUUCAGGUGUAGCGGUGAAAUGCGUAGAGAUCUGAAGGAAUACCGGUGGCGAAGGCGGCCCCCCUCGGACAGAUACUGACACUCAGAUGCGAAAGCGUGGGGAGCAAACAGGAUUAGAUACCCCUGGUAG
rnacentral:rRNA from 1 species